CCCAUUCGGACAUUGCGGGAUCAAUGCUUCGGCAGUAUCCUGCAGUGAAUACAUAGCUGCUGGAGGCAAACCCGGUGAACUGAAAUAUCUAAGUAACCGGAGGAAAAGAAAUCAACCGAGAUUCCCUGAGUAGUGACGAGCGAACGGGGACCAGCCCUUAAGCUGGAUUGGUUUUAGAAGAACAGUCUGGAAAGACUGGCCAUAGACGGUGACAGCCCGGUAUUCGAAAAGACCUUU
rnacentral:rRNA from 1 species